UACGUAGGGGGCGAGCGUUGUCCGGAAUUAUUGGGCGUAAAGAGCUCGUAGGCGGUUUGUCGCGUCGGUCGUGAAAUCCUGGGGCUUAACUUCGGGCUUGCGGUCGAUACGGGCAGGCUAGAGUGCGGUAGGGGAGACUGGAAUUCCUGGUGUAGCGGUGGAAUGCGCAGAUAUCAGGAGGAACACCGGUGGCGAAGGCGGGUCUCUGGGCCGUUACUGACGCUGAGGAGCGAAAGCGUGGGGAGCGAACAGG
rnacentral:rRNA from 1 species